UUUGAUCCUGGCUCAAGAUGAACGCUGGCGGCGUGCUUAACACAUGCAAGUCGAACGAAGCACCUGAGAAUGAUUCUUCGGAUGAAGUCUCUUGUGACUGAGUGGCGGACGGGUGAGUAACGCGUGGGUAACCUGCCUCACACAGGGGGAUAACAGUUGGAAACGACCGCUAAUACCGCAUAACCCGCUGGUGCCGCAUGGCACUGACGGAAAAGAUUUAUUGGUGUGAGAUGGACCCGCGUCUGAUUAGCCAGUUGGCAGGGUAACGGCCUACCAAAGCGACGAUCAGUAGCCGGCCUGAGAGGGUGAACGGCCACAUUGGGACUGAGACACGGCCCAGACUCCUGCGGGAGGCAGCAGUGGGGAAUAUUGCACAAUGGGGGAAACCCUGAUGCAGCGACGCCGCGUGAGUGAAGAAGUAUUUCGGUAUGUAAAGCUCUAUCAGCAGGGAAGAAAAUGACGGUACCUGAUUAAGAAGCCCCGGCUAACUACGUGCCAGCAGCCGCGGUAAUACGUANGGGGGCAAGCGUUAUCCGGAUUUACUGGGUGUAAAGGGAGCGUAGACGGUGAUGCAAGUCAGAAGUGAAAGCCCGGGGCUCAACUCCGGGACUGCUUUUGAAACUGUGUGACUGGAGUGCANGANNAGUAAGCGGAAUUCCUGGUGUAGCGGUGAAAUGCGUANAUAUCAGGAGGAACACCA
rnacentral:rRNA from 1 species